CGGGAGGCAGCAGUGAGGAAUAUUGCGCAAUGGGCGAAAGCCUGACGCAGCAACGCCGCGUGAGUGAAGAAGGCCUUCGGGUUGUAAAGCUCUGUCUUUUUGGGAGAAGGUCCGAAUGGUUAAUACCCAAUCGGAAUGACGGUACAAGAGAAGGAAGCCCCGGCUAACUACGCGCCAGCAGCCGCGGUAAUACGUAGGGGGCGAGCGUUGUCCGGAAUUACUGGGCGUAAAGCGCGUGUAGGCGGGUUUUUAAGUCGGGUGUGAAAACUCUGGGCUCAACCCAGAGACUGCAUCCGAAACUGGAGACCUUGAGGGCGAGAGAGGAAAGUGGAAUUCCUAGUGUAGCGGUGAAAUGCGUAGAUAUUAGGAGGAACACCAGUGGCGAAGGCGACUUUCUGGCCCGAACCUGACGCUGAGACGCGAAAGCGUGGGGAGCAAACAGGAUUAGAUACCCUAGUAGUCCU
rnacentral:rRNA from 1 species